UUAGAGUUGAAAUUUAGGGACGAAACGAAGCCGACAAGUGACGGAAGAUGGUGGCAGGCGACAGUCGAUCGUCGAUUUAUGGAUUUCUUUGAAUCUUCUAGUCGUGUUCUUAAAGAAAUAAGAGAACGUUAGAUGAGAAGAGACUAGAGAAAAAAGAAAAUUGAAAAUAUGAAAGUCAAAAACAUAAAAAGGGCGUUUUAUACUAAAGUCAAAACAGCUUCGUUUCCUAUGCUUAAACCCGCAUGUUGACCUGGACCUAGUCGCCUCCUAUCCCCACUAAGCCGCCAAGCCACUAGCUAUCGAGCUGCCAGCCGCAAAAAAU
rnacentral:lncRNA from 1 species